GCCAGACCCUUCGGAGGGAGGGGCUUUCCGGAGACAGGCUUGCACGCAUGCGCAAAGCGGGGGGCGGGGCGCUGGAGAGAGCGCGGCUCGUUCACGCACGCGCGGUGCAGCCUGCCGCCUCCGUCUGGUCGCUAAGCAACCUCUCGUUGCUUUAAAUUUAAGUAUAAUUUCUCAGUGAGUAGGCGACCUUGGUGGGUCUGGCUCUUCCCAGCUCUCCUGAGAAUGUCACGUUGUUGAACGUGACGAGAACAAUUACCUUGAGCUUUAACUGACUGUAACACUAGUUGGAGCCUGUUCUUGCCAACACCAUCCACGCAGCCUGAUAGCAACUGCUGUGUAAUUUAACUCUCCAGGUAUUGGUGUGGUGGGGGCAGAGGCAAAAUGGUAUCACACACACAAGGAGGACUCAACACUUUCCAGGAGCUACUAACAGAUAGACAUCCAGAAUCCAAAUGAAAGGUCCUGAGUUCAAGUACCAGCAACCACAUGGUGGCUCACAACC